rnacentral:rRNA from 1 species
GUAUAGGGGAGCCGGAGGGAAACCGAGUCUUAACCGGGCGUUAAGUUGCAGGGUAUAGACCCGAAACCCGGUGAUCUAGCCAUGGGCAGGUUGAAGGUUGGGUAACACUAACUGGAGGACCGAACCGACUAAUGUUGAAAAAUUAGCGGAUGACCUGUGGCUGGGGGUGAAAGGCCAAUCAAACCGGGAGAUAGCUGGUUCUCCCCGAAAGCUAUUUAGGUAGCGCCUCGUGAAUUCAUCUCCGGGGGUAGAGCACUGUUUCGGCUAGGGGGCCAUCCCGGCUUACCAACCCGAUGCAAACUGCGAAUACCGGAGAAUGUUAUCACGGGAGACACACGGCGGGUGCUAACGUCCGUCGUGAAGAGGGAAACAACCCAGACCGCCAGCUAAGGUCCCAAAGUCAUGGUUAAGUGGGAAACGAUGUGGGAAGGCCCAGACAGCCAGGAUGUUGGCUUAGAAGCAGCCAUCAUUUAAAGAAAGCGUAAUAGCUCACUGGUCGAGUCGGCCUGCGCGGAAGAUGUAACGGGGCUAAACCAU